CCUACGGGUGGCAGCAGUGAGGAAUAUUGGGCAAUGGGCGCAAGCCUGACCCAGCCAUGCCGCGUGCAGGAUGACGGCGCUAUGCGUUGUAAACUGCUUUUAUUCAGAAAGAAACCCAUCUACGUGUAGGUGGUUGACGGUACUGAAUGAAUAAGCAUCGGCUAACUCCGUGCCAGCAGCCGCGGUAAUACGGAGGAUGCAAGUGUUAUCCGGAUUCAUUGGGUCUAAAGGGUGCGUAGGCGGAAUAUUAAGUCAGUGAUGAAAUCCUGCAGCUUAACUGUAGAACUGUUAUUGAUACUGGUAUUCUUGAAUGCAGUUGAGGUAGGCGGAAUGUGUAAUGUAGCGGUGAAAUGCUUAGAUAUUACACAGAACACCGAUUGCGAAGGCAGCUUACUAAACUGUGAUUGACGCUGAGGCACGAAAGCGUGGGGAGCAAACAGGAUUAGAUACCCUUGUAGUCAA
rnacentral:rRNA from 1 species